GCUCUGAUCAGGCCCUACACCCAAACAAGGGCACUGCGUUCAUCCACCUCUGGCCUGCUCGCCUCCCUACCACUGAGGAAGUACAGUUCCCACUCAGCCCAGUCAAAACUGUUGCUCUGGCCCCCCAAUGGUGGAACAAACUCCCUCACGACGCCAGGACAGCGGAGUCAAUCACCACCUUCCGGAGACACCUGAAACCCCACCUCUUUAAGGAAUACCUAGGAUAGGAUAAAGUAAUCCUUCUCACCCCCCUUAAAAGACCUAGAUGCACUAUUGUAAAGUGGCUGUUCCACUGGAUGUCAUAAGGUGAAAGCACCAAUUUGUAAGUCGCUCUGGAUAAGAGCGUCUGCUAAAUGACUUAAAUGUAAAUGUUUACGAGGUUAUGUUUGGCAGCUGUAGAUCAGUGUCCUGUAGUCCUGGGGAUCCUGAAGGGGGGAACUUUUUAGUUCAUUAUAUUUUUUAAACAUUUUUUGCUUAUUUGAGUUUUUUACCCUUUGCAGUUCAUUUUGGUAUGUUAAUUUUCACUAAUACAUUUAGUCAUUUAUCAGACACUAUUAUCCAGAGUGACUUCAGAGCAUUAAACUAAAGGCAGAUAAACAACAACAUCCUGUAUCACAGUCAGAGGAAGUCAUCUGUUUCUGUUACCAUUACUGAGAGGGUUGUUGCUGUUGGGUUCUGCUACUGGCUAAUGUACUUCUGUAUGUUAAAAUACAAAAUACAUGCAUUUGAAUUAAAUACACUUCAAAAUACAAGUAUCUUGUUGUUUAUUUUUCAAACAUUGAUCUUUAUGUUAUUUUGUAAUUUGUAUUUUGACAUUUUUUCCCUUUUCCCUUGUUGUGAUCAAUGUAGUUUCCUCUUCACUUCAACCCAGAACAUGUGAUGACAUUAAAUCAAUGUGGAAAGCUGAUUGGAUUUGCAAGUCAACUACAUAAGAACAUUUCAUCUAGUGGCCGACAAUGAAUGCAACAACACUGGUUGGUGCUGCAUGUGUUUCUACAUGAUCCUCUCACUCCACCUUGUGGCCACAGAUGGAACAGCACUCCAGACUGACUGAAGAGGAGAAAGAGAUGGAGAGAGACGGAGAAAAACAAAGACAGGGGUACCAUGGUUCGAACAUUGAACAAUAUGGAGGAGCUGAG